rnacentral:rRNA from 1 species
UACGGAGGGUGCGAGCGUUGUCCGGAAUCACUGGGCGUAAAGGGCGCGUAGGCGGCUUUUUAAGGGUGCGGUGAAAGCCCGGGGCUUAACCCCGGGUCGGCCGUGCCGACUGAAAAGCUGGAGCACUGUAGAGGCAGGUGGAAUUCCGGGUGUAGCGGUGGAAUGCGUAGAGAUCCGGAGGAAUACCGGUGGCGAAGGCGGCAUCCUGGACCAUUACUGACGCUGAGGCGCGAAAGCUAGGGGAGCAAACGGG